rnacentral:rRNA from 1 species
UACGAAGGGGGCUAGCCUUGCUCGGAAUUACUGGGCGUAAAGCGCACGUAGGCGGCCAUGAUAGUCAGAUGUGAAAGGCCUGGGCUUAACCCGGGAACUGCAUUUGAUACUGCAUGGCUAGAGUCCAAGAGAGGGUAGUGGAAUUCCCAGUGUAGAGGUGAAAUUCGUAGAUAUUGGGAAGAACACCAGUGGCGAAGGCGGCUACCUGGCUUGGUACUGACGCUCAGGUGCGAAAGCGUGGGGAGCGAACAGG